CGCAGCCUGAACCAGCCAUGCCGCGUGCAGGAUGACGGUCCUAUGGAUUGUAAACUGCUUUUGUACGGGAAGAAACCCUCCUACGUGUAGGAGCUUGACGGUACCGUAAGAAUAAGGAUCGGCUAACUCCGUGCCAGCAGCCGCGGUAAUACGGAGGAUCCAAGCGUUAUCCGGAAUCAUUGGGUUUAAAGGGUCUGUAGGC
rnacentral:rRNA from 1 species